rnacentral:rRNA from 1 species
UUUUGGACAAUGGGCGCAAGCCUGAUCCAGCCAUUCCGCGUGAGUGAAGAAGGCCUUCGGGUUGUAAAGCUCUUUCGCAAGGGAAGAAAACUUACUUUCUAAUAAAGAGUGAGGUUGACGGUACCUUGAUAAGAAGCACCGGCUAACUACGUGCCAGCAGCCGCGGUAAUACGUAGGGUGCGAGCGUUAAUCGGAAUUACUGGGCGUAAAGCGCGCGCAGGCGGCUUUGUAAGUCAGAUGUGAAAUCCCCGAGCUCAACUUGGGAACUGCGUUUGAAACUACAAGGCUAGAAUAUGUCAGAGGGGGGUAGAAUUCCACGUGUAGCAGUGAAAUGCGUAGAGAUGUGGAGGAAUACCAAUGGCGAAGGCAGCCCCCUGGGAUAAUAUUGACGCUCAUGCACGAAA